rnacentral:rRNA from 1 species
AGUGAACGCUGGCGGUAGGCCUAACACAUGCAAGUCGAACGGCAGCACAGUAAGAGCUUGCUCUUACGGGUGGCGAGUGGCGGACGGGUGAGGAAUACAUCGGAAUCUACUUUUUCGUGGGGGAUAACGUAGGGAAACUUACGCUAAUACCGCAUACGACCUACGGGUGAAAGCAGGGGAUCUUCGGACCUUGCGCGAUUGAAUGAGCCGAUGUCGGAUUAGCUAGUUGGCGGGGUAAAGGCCCACCAAGGCGACGAUCCGUAGCUGGUCUGAGAGGAUGAUCGGCCACACUGGAACUGAGACACGGUCCAGACUACUACGGGAGGCAGCAGUGGGGAAUAUUGGACAAUGGGCGCAAGCCUGAUCCAGCCAUACCGCGUGGGUGAAGAAGGCCUUCGGGUUGUAAAGACCUUUUGUUGGGAAAGAAAAGCAGCAGGUUAAUACCCCGCUGUUCUGACGGUACCCAAAGAAUAAGCACCGGCUAACUUCGUG